GGAUCAUUACCGAGUUUACAACUCCCAAACCCAAUGUGAACGUUACCAAACUGUUGCCUCGGCGGGAUCUCUGCCCCGGGUGCGUCGCAGCCCCGGACCAAGGCGCCCGCCGGAGGACCAACCAAAACUCUUAUUGUAUACCCCCUCGCGGGUUUUUUUUAUAAUCUGAGCCUUCUCGGCGCCUCUCGUAGGCGUUUCGAAAAUGAAUCAAAACUUUCAACAACGGAUCUCUUGGUUCUGGCAUCGAUGAAGAACGCAGCGAAAUGCGAUAAGUAAUGUGAAUUGCAGAAUUCAGUGAAUCAUCGAAUCUUUGAACGCACAUUGCGCCCGCCAGUAUUCUGGCGGGCAUGCCUGUCCGAGCGUCAUUUCAACCCUCGAACCCCUCCGGGGGGUCGGCGUUGGGGAUCGGCCCUCCCUUAGCGGGUGGCCGUCUCCGAAAUACAGUGGCGGUCUCGCCGCAGCCUCUCCUGCGCAGUAGUUUGCACACUCGCAUCGGGAGCGCGGCGCGUCCACAGCCGUUAAACACCCAACUUCUGAAAUGUUGACCUCGGA
rnacentral:rRNA from 1 species